GCUCCUGAAGGAUAAUAGUUCUUCCGUUGGUCUUAGGAACCAAAGCCUCUUGGUGCAACUCCAAGCAGAAGCU
rnacentral:tRNA from 1 species